rnacentral:rRNA from 1 species
UACGUAGGGGGCAAGCGUUGUCCGGAUUUAUUGGGCGUAAAGAGCGUGUAGGCGGCCUGGAAGGUCAGCUGUGAAAACUCGAGGCUCAACCUCGAGACGUCGGUUGAAACCACCUGGCUAGAGUCCGGAAGAGGAGAGUGGAAUUCCCGGUGUAGCGGUGAAAUGCGCAGAUAUCGGGAGGAACACCGGUGGCGAAGGCGGUUCUCUGGGCCUGACCUGACGCUGAGGAGCGAAAGCGUGGGGAGCGAACAGG